UUCAUCAGCGCGCUUUAUUUUUUGGCGGCCUAUGCCAUAUUUUGGUGCAGGCCCACUAUGCAGUGAGAAGGGCAGAAGGAGGUGGCUGUCCGCAUUUGAUCUUCUUCUCCCUCUCUCCCGAAGAUGAGCGCCGCGCCGCCGCCCAACCCUCUCCCUCCUCCCUUCCCAGAUCUGCGGUCCAACACGCCCCGCCUCCUCUCCCCCCUGUCGAUCCCUAGCCUAACCACCAUCGCGGCGCCGACCGUGGUGACCACGCCGUGCCGUCCAUAGUCCCAGCACCGCGCCGCCGGUCCAGAUCGCUGGGUUGCGACGGUCCUGUGACCUCGCAUCGUGGUGACCGCGUUGCCCCCUGUCGAUUUGAUGGACACUGGACCUUCCGUCGUCUUACCCUGUCCAAGACCAAACUCGUCUUCUCAUCUGAAGCCGAUCUAGAUCUUGCUCUCUGACCGGUUCCCAGGCGGGCGUCCCUCUACUUCAUGUCCUUGCACUUCGACGGGUGCCCAGGUGCGUGUCCCUGUUCUUCUACUCCGACGGCCAGCUACCCAGAAGUUCCCCUGCUUCCUCUUCGAUUGGCAGCCAAACGGCACACAACUGCGAGCAUGGUAGCGUGUGAAGGUAUCCCUCUCCCUAUAGAUUUGUUGAAUAGUUUAUAAGACUAUUUAGGAUGAACCGAUGUUGAAAUCUGUGUGCUAUAGGCUAUAGUUUAAUGAGAUGCUAGUUGAUGAGUAACAAUAUGAUUUGAGGCUAACACUUUUUUUGUUUCUGAACAUCUGAUUUAGUACGAGGUCGAUAAUUGAUAGGUACAAGACAAUCUUUGCAAGACAUCAGGCUUUGCUCCAGCUAUUGAUAUCCAUUUUCUGGUGAAAAGAAAUGUCUAAGAUGGUAAUUAGUAUCCAAGGUUAUGUUUUGGGGAACAAUUUGUUAUCGAAAACAUCUCUGCUAAAUUUGUGAUCAUGUGCAGCACAUUUGAUUUCGUACAAAAUACAGGUCAUGGGAUUAUGAAAGUUCUAUCGGACAAACCAAUGCUCGUGCAAUAUAGUUGUAUUACUGUUUACAGAUGUGAUCGUCCCGGUUGUAGACUUAACAUGAUUUUAAAUAGCUAAACUAAAGUAGCUAGCUCGGUAUGCACAUGUAGUUAGGAAACUGACUAGCUAUCUGACAUGUGUUCCCUAUACAUUUAAUGUGCUCCGUUAGCUACUAACUGGUUCCAGCUGAUUUACUUCAUUUUGUACACAACAAAUACUAUCUUAUUAUAGAUAAAUCGCAAAACAAAUGAUAAUGCAAUAUUUGCCCACCCCCUUCUUAUAUAGCUGAUUGGUUCACAGAGAUAACAAUCUUGUCGUCACAUCUGCCCUGAAGAACUGAGAAGUGUCAUGGAACUUACAUAUUUCUUUUUUAUAGAACUGUUGUUUGCUCUAUAAAUACCACAUUAUCUUGCAAUUCUUACAGAGAAUCGUACUUUGCUUUAUAAAUACAACAUAGUCUUGCAAGCAGUCAAUUUAACAUCAUUCUGUUGCUAUGCUCUUGAAGCACUUGAACCCGCUUGGAUCACGGCAAGACAGAUAGAAGCAGUACGAAGAGCAAUAACACGAUAUGCACGUCGUGGUGGAAAAAUAUGGGAACAUAUUCUUACGGGUGGUCAUGGUUUGCUGGUUGAUGGGCACAAACAAGUAAUUGAGGCUCUCGCUCAAGGUCUUAAUCAGAGUUGUAGAUAUUGUAGAUACUUGGCCUGACCAACUCAAGGUCUUGACACCCCUCUUAAUCAGAGGUGUAAAUACUUUGCCUUACUAGAGUAGCAGAUAAUUGUCCUGACCAACAACACAUGUACAUGCUGACUUAGGUGUUCUGCUAGCUGUACGAAACAUUAGCUAUGUUUACUUCUUGAAUUCUGGCUUGAAAUUGACCAUGAGUCUGUAAUUGAACAAGAAUCUGAUGUGUACAUUGAAUUUUAGCAUCAAUUUAUAAUUUUGAAUUA